GACGAACGCUGGCGGCGUGCCUAACACAUGCAAGUCGAACGGAACUCGGGACUUCGGUUCUGAGUUUAGUGGCGAACGGGUGAGUAACGCGUGAGGAACCUGCCUUUCAGUGGGGGACAACAGUUGGAAACGACUGCUAAUACCGCAUAAUGUAUCGAAGGGCAUCCCUUUGAUACCAAAGCUUUAUGUGCUGAAAGAUGGCCUCGCGUCUGAUUAGAUAGUUGGUGAGGUAACGGCUCACCAAGUCUGCGAUCAGUAGCCGGUCUGAGAGGAUGAACGGCCACAUUGGGACUGAGAUACGGCCCAG
rnacentral:rRNA from 1 species